UGCUCUUUCUCCUCUCCCUUAGCUUCUUCCAUUUCUUGGGCCAUAUGGUUCCUUCCUCUCCUGGGACUACACAGGACUUAGCAUCUCUCUCUUAGCUUUUCCAUGACUGCUAUUUCUGGGAUUGAAGGAUUCUUCGGAUGAACAAGCUUCCCUUUCCCAGGGAUUCAAGGCUACCCCGUGUGUUUCCUUUUCCUAAUUGUUUGCCCAUGUAUUAAACUCAGUUCAUCUCUUUCUGCUCUCUUUUGUAGUCCACGUCCAAAAGAAUGCCUCAGAUCCACAAUAACCACGAACCAGUCAACCAUCCUGAAAUGCCACAACUUAAUCAGUCACUUUCAAUUGCUCAAGAAAGAGAUUCUGCUUUUGCUCUAUUUGUGAAAGGCAGCUGGAUGGAUGAACAUUACCAGUUGUAAUGAGCCUGGCAAUUUUUUUUUAAAACAAUUUGGAAGCAAGGAAAAAGAAAAGCUACUCUUUGCUCAUUUUCAGUUGCUUAAGGCAGUCAACUCUACUGUGGACAGAAACAAAGAUUACAAAUGAACAAUGCUUAUCAGGUAAAAAGUGGGAAAAGAGAUAAUAAAGAAAUAUCUGGGAUUUAAUCA
rnacentral:lncRNA from 1 species